GCCGAGUUAGGCCGUGUCGCAAGUUUUGUGAGGUGCUUUUUUGAUAUUUAAUGGAUACCGAUACGUAAUAUCGGAUCGGUCCAUCUCUAGUUUUUAAUUUAAUGUCCUGUAUCAGUGUGAAGAGUUUCUGAAUGUACGUUUUUACUGGGAGAGAGCCACACGACAUCAGCAUGAAAGUAGCCCGACCCAAAGGAGUGUGUGCCCUGAUGAUUAACCAGGACACAGCAGGAAUUUAUAAUGUGACCCAGUUACCGUCUGACACAGGUAUCAUUUAAAGUCUGGACACCUAAUAUUCUGCAAAGUGCUCCACUUUGAACUUUGGCUUGAAGCUCGUUUGGUAACCGUUUAAUGAAUCAAUGCUAUUCCAUGUUGCUCUGCUAAUGGCACAGGGAACAAACUAAGGAAAGUAGGCAGAGUGCUAGCCAGAAGCUUCGAGCGCUACAUUGUGAGUGAGCUACCAAUUAACCUUGCAGUGUCAGCGGUUUCCCAUCAGCACCUUGACCGCCGGCGGAGCCUAAACUGGGACAAACCAGCCGGGAUAAUCCGCACAGAAAAUUCCGAAACAAAAACAGAGAAGCGAAGACUGACUUUGAAAAAACGGGUUUGUGUCAAUAACAAUCCACCAAUGACUGCACCGCCACAGCCACUCCUCCACUGCUGUCUUGGAGUUGUGUGGAGUUAUGAUGAUAACAGAUCAAUAAAAAGAUGAACUAGAUUUGAAAGAAGGAAUCCUCAAGGUUGCUCUGCCGAUCCACACAGGAAGCAGCGCUAACAUAAAAAAACAAAGGACUAACUUAAGGUCAUUGUCGAGACACUUGGCAAAUUUGUGUGAUUAUUUUUGAACAUGAAUAGGGAGAAAAUUGCAGACUCAGCCAGACGGCAGUCCUAUUAAAAAGUAUAAUGGUGGACUGUUGUUUGGUUAUUUAGUAACAAAGCCGUGCUGGCCAUGGCCUACAUAUUUCUGUUUGUUUAGCAAACGAUAAGAUCUCUUGUUCCCGGCAUCAAUGUGGGCCGCCUCACCACAGCGGAGAGGCACAACAAAAUAAAAAGGGCAGGAAAAAAUAUGCAUGAGAAAAAAGCAAUGUUAGUGCGAAGUGGUGUCUAAAGAUAAGGAGAGAGAAGGCGUGCUGGUGUAUUUAGGGUGUGGAGGUGACGCAGUGCAUAAACAGCUGCUUGUUCACCAUCACGCUGUAGGACUCUGAAAGGAAUUAAAGCUUCGAGGCUUCAUCUUAGUCACAGUUAUAGAUUGGUUCAUAUGUUUUUGGACAAUUACAUCAUUUAUUUGUCAUUUUAAGUCUGUAAACCAAGUAGUUUUACCAAGAUAUUAAUUUUUGAUUGAUACUGACGCUUAUGAACUUGGUCGUUUCUGUAUUUUAGUUUUUACUCUUUGAUUGGUGUGUAUGUACUUGUCAUGAUCAUACUGCUGUCCUUCUUGGCCAGGUCACUCUUGAAAAGGAGAUUUUAAAUCUAUUCAUUUUCAGAGGCUCAAAAGUAACUGCUUGAACACUCAGUAAGAGCUCCAAAGAGAUGCUGACGAUGGUGAGGGAGACCAUGAUUAAGAUGAAGAAACAAAAUUAACAUAUCAGACAUAAAGCAGAAACUUCAGGAGCGGCCAAAUCAACAAACUGUACAUGAAAAGGCCUGAAAGAUGAUGACCUGAAGCUGUCGAACACAACAGGAGGUAACGUUAUUUCAUAAGCACGUCUGCCAGUGGUCUGAAGAGAGGACAUGCAUCAUUUGGUGAUGUCCAUGGGCUCCAAACUUUGAUGCAUUUUUUUGUUAAAAACUCUUGAACUAAACUGAAAAUCUGCACUUCAGUUGUUUGAUUUAAACCCUGGUGGACCUGACGCAUAUCUGAGAGUUUCAGACUGAAGCUUUAGCCAAACUGAAUGCUUCACCACCGCCGCUGAUGAGUCAGGUUUGCUGGUAUCCUUGUUCAAAUUUGAAGUAGAGCUAUUUGCGCUCGCCUCAAGGUGAGUCUUGAUCUGCAGCUCCUCGGGUGCAGCCACAAAACCUAAGCUAAACUAAUCCAGCUGCCCAGCGAGAAGCUGCAGGAGGCUGUGGUGGUCUGUGCAGCUCCCAGCUUGAACACCAGGAUGUGCAUCAAUUAAAAUAAAACCGGAUGAAAAAAACAAAACAAAACAGGAGGCCAGUUUUUCUGGAUAGGGACGAGCCCUCAUCGGCUUUUACUGUAAAUACUGGAGCAAACACAGCGUGUUACAUAAGAUUUGGGCAGCAGAAAAGCAUAAUAGGUUUCAAAUAUGAGUCAUGCAAAGUCAACCCAUGAUAAAACCCAACAAAACAAAAUUAUUACACCGCAACAAAUCUUUGAAUCGGUUUGAACUAUUUUCAAACUGAUUUUCAACAAGGUCUCUGCACUGCCAUCUCCACUGCAUAACCUGACACAGUUUGGUCCUAUUCACAUAAAACAGACCCGGGUCAAAUCAACAUUUCAAGAAGACACUUGAGUGACAUCACAUUACCCCCGACAUCCACGUUCCUCCCAGUUCAUGUAAAAUGUGUCUUUUUUUGUAUUUAGCAAA